rnacentral:rRNA from 1 species
UACGAAGGGUGCAAGCGUUACUCGGAAUUACUGGGCGUAAAGCGCGCGUAGGCGGCUUUGCAAGUCGGGUGUGAAAUCCCCAGGCUUAACCUGGGAACUGCAUUCGAGACUGCAUUGCUAGAGUAUGGGAGAGGGAAGUGGAAUUUCAGGUGUAGCGGUGAAAUGCGUAGAUAUCUGGAGGAACACCGGUGGCGAAGGCGGCAUCCUGGAGCCGGCAUUGACGCGUGAGGAGCGAAAAGCCAGGGGAGCAAACGGG